CCACAGUCUCUGAAAGUGAAUUAAGAUCAGGCGAGGAGGGGCGGACCACCAGGCACUGAAUGGCACUGCAGCCGUGCCAGCAGUGACAGCGCUGCAGCCAGCCCCUUCCUCGCCUUUAGUUUGCAUCCACCCCUCCAAAGUUUCACGCAUUUGCAAGUACCACUGCGCUUGUGGGAAAGAGCAAGAAAUAAACACAACACUUAAUAAAAGCCCGAGUAACCCUGUUGCAAGAGCAAUGUACGUAAAACGAGCAGUGUCGGAAGAAGCAAGAGGCCACAGACAAUGUAUUUCCAGGUCAGCACUACAACUGGAAGAAAUGGAAUCUCAAAAGGACCGUGGAUACUAUCCUCCGUAUUUUUAAGGUGAAAAAAAUAGUCUGCCACACGGAGAGCAGGAUCCAGAGCUGAUUAUGCUCAUGGCUGUCAGUGAGCUGGUUUGUCUGAAAAAUGAAGCUGCCAAAGCCCACGGGACCAAGGAAAGGACCCAAACCUGGCUCUGGGCAUGUGAACUCCUGGGUAAAAUACUGUCUAGAGUUGGAGAUUACUCUUCAAAAUUCUGCUGAAUUUGCUCUGUAGCUUCUUUUACCAGGACUUUAAUUUAAGAUAGAUCUUCAUUGGGUUCCCUGCUUCCAUUUAACAGGCCAGAGUUUUUCUUUUCUGUUUUCUUCAU